rnacentral:rRNA from 1 species
CCCCCGGACCCGCGUGCUUACCAUGCAGUCGAACGAUGAUCCCGUGCUUGCACGGGUGAUUAGUGGCGAACGGGUGAGUAACACGUGAGUAACCUGCCCUUGACUCUGGGAUAAGCCUGGGAAACUGGGUCUAAUACUGGAUAUGCACCGUGAACCGCAUGGUUUUUGGUGGAAAGAUUUAUUGGUCAAGGAUGGACUCGCGGCCUAUCAGCUUGUUGGUGAGGUAAUGGCUCACCAAGGCGACGACGGGUAGCCGGCCUGAGAGGGUGACCGGCCACACUGGGACUGAGACACGGCCCAGACUCCUACGGGAGGCAGCAGUGGGGAAUAUUGCACAAUGGGCGAAAGCCUGAUGCAGCGACGCCGCGUGAGGGAUGACGGCCUUCGGGUUGUAAACCUCUUUCAGUAGGGAAGAAGCGAAAGUGACGGUACCUGCAGAAGAAGCGCCGGCUAACUACGUGCCAGCAGCCGCGGUAAUACGUAGGGCGCAAGCGUUAUCCGGAAUUAUUGGGCGUAAAGAGCUCGUAGGCGGUUUGUCGCGUCUAUCGUGAAAGUCCGAGGCUCAACCUCGGAUCUGCGGUGGGUACGGGCAGACUAGAGUGAUGUAGGGGAGACUGGAAUUCCUGGUGUAGCGGUGAAAUGCGCAGAUAUCAGGAGGAACACCGAUGGCGAAGGCAGGUCUCUGGGCAUUAAACUGACGCU